ACCGAAGUGUUACCCAACGACAUAUGACCCCUAAGCGCGGGAUGCGGGGGUUCGGGGGCAGCGCCCCCGACACGGGUGUCCCGCUGCCCGGUCGGUGGGCGGGGGUUCGGGGGCAGCGCCUCCCGACGGGGGUUCCGCUGCCCGGUCAGCGGACGGCUGUCCCGCUCGCCGGUGAGCGGGUAGGGGUUCGGGGGCAGCGCCCCCGAAACCUCUACGGGUUUGGGCUUUUAUUUAAGCUGGCCCGUAUGGUGGAAUUAAGAGGUUAAUUAGAGGUUUA